AGAUUGAACGCUGGCGGCAUGCCUUACACAUGCAAGUCGAACGGCAGCACGGGAGCAAUCCUGGUGGCGAGUGGCGAACGGGUGAGUAAUACAUCGGAACGUGCCCAAUCGUGGGGGAUAACGCAGCGAAAGCUGUGCUAAUACCGCAUAAGAUCUAUGGAUGAAAGCAGGGGAUCGCAAGACCUUGCGCGAAUGGAGCGGCCGAUGGCAGAUUAGGUAGUUGGUGAGGUAAAGGCUCACCAAGCCUU
rnacentral:rRNA from 1 species